rnacentral:lncRNA from 1 species
GGUUCUUUUCAUGGAUGGCUUGCAUGAUCCAACAGGACAGGAAAGAAUGUCUGUAUGGGCCUUUCUUCUGGAAUUCCCAAUGUCAAGCCCCAUUCAAUUUCAUCCCUACAACAUAUGCCAUCUGUCUCAUCCAUCUCCAGGAUCAUCUACUAUCCAGCUGGAGCAAGACAGUUGAAAUUCCCCAAAGCAAGUGGAAAAACAAAGAGCCUCAGACAGCCACAUCCAACUCAUACUUAUGUGUCAGGGAAGCACACUGUGUGGUGUGUGUGUGUGUGUGUGUGUGUGUGUGUGUGUGUGUGUGUGUGUGUAACUGUUGAAUUAAAAGCUGUUGUUUAAGCAUAAGGACUAAGUGUUCUCAACAGUGACAUGCCCUCACACAUAAGUUACGUAUUUGUGAGUGAAUAGUUACUGAGACAUCACCAUACAGCUUUAUGAAUUCUGCAUGAGAGGGCUUGAAGCCUGCACCAGAACUGUCCAGCUCUGUUCCUCUCUGGCUUGUACCUAGGCUGCUG